GGGCCAGUGGGAAGGCAAGAUCUGGCAGCCGUUCCUGACGGCCGAGGUGUGGCAGGAGUUCAUCCUGCCCGGCCUGC
rnacentral:tRNA from 1 species